UAAAAAUGGACAAAUCCUAAAUUGACACUAAAUAAACAGGAAAUGAAAAUCACUAAUGGCCAUUGGCCUUAUUACAUUUUAUAAAGAGAAAAGAAAAACUUCUAUUUACAUGGUACCACAAGGACCUUCCCUAAAUUUGGAAUCCUUGGCUCCGUCGAAUAACUUUCAACCUCAUGAAGUCCCAACAAUAGGUAGGCCCUGGCUAGACGUCACCUUUGGUUCCUUCAGCAAUUUGGCAGUCUUCGACCCUCUUGAGAAACUUUCUCUCUAACUCUACUAUGCAUCGCUCCAUGUAUCCCAAUCGUUUGUUGGCACUGCCAUCCAUGUCCUUCCAUUCCUCAAUUAGCUUCUGGUUAGACUCGUAUCUCGCGAUGCUCACUUUUGUACACUUAGAUUCUUUUGCGCAGUUGGUUUUAUUUGACCUGUGUCUCAGACCUUUAGUCUAUAAUCCUGUGACCUCGAGCAAACCAUGGUUGGCGCAGACAAUCAUGAUUGUCUUCCAACCAACCUGAGUAGAAAGGAGCGCAACUAGUGUGAUACCUGUCUGGCUCAAUGGUAUAUCUCCCCAUUAUGAUCUUGCUGUGCCAUAUAUGUUGAGCCUGACACUUGUAAGGACUAUCAUCAUUCUAGAAAUCAGCCCAAAAAUGACUCAUCUUGUCAACCCUAGGUAUAAACUGCUUCCUACCCACUUAUCUCACAACUCAGAGAGGGACGUAAGGAUAGGUCCUCUCAGAUCAAUCAAUAUAAGUAAAGGUGCAUCUCGGGAUCGGUUGAUGAACUCCUUGGUCAGAAACCACUCGAACAUCCAUUGAACCUAUUCUUCGGUUAGGUUAUCAAAUAGUUCUGCCCAUUCUUUGGCAUCUUCUGGCUGAGUGAACAUAUUGGCAUGUAAUUCAUUCGCUUUGGAUGAUAGAAAGUGAUGUGAUCAUCCAAGUCCCUUCACUAAACUCUUGUCGAUAUUUACCCUUUUAGAGAUGGUCCAUGAGCCAGAGUUGAAGUAAUAAAUUGCAUCCUUUGAAGUGUUUCACUCCUUGUUGAUACUUAUCCAAGGCUCGCUAUAUGUUUGCAAUGAUCAUGGGCACAAUGCUGAAUGGUUGCCCACCAAUCUGUUCCAUUAGGGUCAUAGUUACCAUAGCCAGCCUGGUUUGGAUUCUUGCUUUCUUCAUCGGAAACACGAUAAAUCCAAAGAAAUAUAACAUCAAGAUGAAGACCCUUCAAUGGAUGUGCCCUAAUGUUGUGAUGGAAAACUCGUCAGGCUAUGUACGAUAGGAUUUUCUGUGACCGUACCUUUCAUACAAAUAGUCAAAAGGGCUGUAGGAUUUCUUCAGAUGUGUCAGUUAUGCGUUUUUCUUUAAACCCAUCAUUUCGAGGAAACUUAUGCUUUUACGGUUCUCAGGCAUCAGCAGACCCAGAGUUUCCCAUACUAGACCGGCUAAUCCUCAUAUCUCCUCUAGAAAGGGUGUCAUUCAAUGUCCUAAAAGUGGAAUAAAGCUCUUUCACAAUCCCAAAAUAGUAUUGCAGCUUCUAUAAUCUUGUUAUUGGGUUGGAUCUCCGGGAGGGAAGGCAGAUUUUCUAGAUAUUUUCAAACAAGAUUUUGAUCACUAGAGUGAAGAUCUUUCCACCAGCUUAGCAGUCUUGGGUGGAUGU
rnacentral:lncRNA from 1 species